rnacentral:rRNA from 1 species
ACCUGGUUGAUCCUGCCAGUAGUCAUAUGCUUGUCUCAAAGACUAAGCCAUGCAUGUCUAAGUAUAGCUUUAUACUGUGAAMUGCGAAUGGCUCAUUAAAUCAGUUAUAGUUUAUUUGAUGGUGCUUCCUACUCGGAUAACCGUAGGAAAACUAGAGCUAAUACGUGCGUAUAAUCCCGACUUCGGAAGGGACGUAUUUAUUAGAUAAGAGGCCGACCGGAGCUUGCUCCGACCUUCGGUGAAUCAUGAUAACUUCACGAAUCGCAUGGCUCUACGCCGGCGAUGUUUCAUUCAAAUUUCUGCCCUAUCAACUUUCGACGGUAGGGUAGUGGCCUACCGUGGUGGUAACGGGUGACGGAGGAUUAGGGUUCGAUUCCGGAGAGGGAGCCUGAGAAACGGCUACCACAUCCAAGGAAGGCAGCAGGCGCGCAAAUUACCCAAAUCCCAACUCGGGGAGGUAGUGACAAGAAAUAACGAUGCUCCGACCUUCGGUCGGGUAAUCGGAAUGAGAACAAUUUAAAUCCCUUAUCGAGGAUCAAUUGGAGGGCAAGUCUGGUGCCAGCAGCCGCGGUAAUUCCAGCUCCAAUAGCGUAUAUUAAAGUUGUUGCAGUUAAAAAGCUCGUAGUUGAACCUUGGGCCUGGCUGGCCGGUCCGCCUCACCGCGUGCACUGGUCCGGCCGGGCCUUUCCUUCUGGGGAGCCGCAUGGCCUUCACUGGCCGUGUCGGGGAACCAGGACUUUUACUUUGAAAAAAUUAGAGUGUUCAAAGCAGGCCUUUGCUCGGAUACAUUAGCAUGGAAUAAUAGAAUAGGACGCGCGGUUCUAUUUUGUUGGUUUCUAGGACCGCCGUAAUGAUUAAUAGGGAUAGUCGGGGGCAUCUGUAUUCAAUUGUCAGAGGUGAAAUUCUUGGAUUUAUUGAAGACAAACUACUGCGAAAGCAUUUGCCAAGGAUGUUUUCAUUAAUCAGUGAACGAAAGUUAGGGGAUCGAAGACGAUCAGAUACCGUCGUAGUCUUAACCAUAAACUAUGCCGACUAGGGAUCGGUGGGUGUUACUAUUUUGACCCCAUCGGCACCUUACGAGAAAUCAAAGUUUUUGGGUUCUGGGGGGAGUAUGGUCGCAA